CUGCCAUGGCGCCCUGGAUCCACCUCCUCCUCCUCUCCCCAUCACUACGCCACACACCUCCACCGCGCCCCCGUCCCCGUCUCUGGCGCCGGUUGCGGGGCCCACGCCGGCGGCAGUGAGGUCCGGGAGCGAGACCCCCACGGCGUCCCCGUCCUCGUCCCCGUCCCCAUCUGCGCCCGGGACGCCCACGGCCGCGGCAGCGGCUCCCUCGAAUCUCGCCCGCGGAUCCCGAUCCGAACACGGAGGAUGACCUCGAUCCCGCGCCCGGCCGCGGACGCGGCAGACGCCCGCGUCGACGCAUCGACCUCCGCGGCGAGCUCCAGAUCCCGCCGGGCCUCGACCGGCAGUGAGGUCCGGGAGCGAGAUCCCCACGGCGGCAGAGAGGCCCGCGGCGGCAGUAAGGUCUGGGAGGGAGACCCCCACAACGUCCCCGUCCCCAUCCGCGCCCGGGACGCCCACGGCCGCGGCAGCGGCUCCCUCGAAUCCCGCCCAUGGAUCCCGAUCCAGACGCGGAGGAUGACCUCGAUCCCGCACCCGGCCGCAGCAGACGCCCGCGUCGACGCAUCGACCUCCGCGGCGAGCUCCAGAUCCCGUCGGGCUUCGGCCGCGAGGAGGCUGUGCCGGGAAAUGGAUAAGGAUGGCAGCUCCGAGAGAAGUCGCCCAGAUCAUGGUGAUGUGAAGAAGCUCAAGUUCAGACCAAAGGUGCCUCCACAGAAGCAAAAGCUACAGCAAGAAGACCCUAAGCUAAUUGAUGAAGAGGUGAUGAAGAUAUUGAGGGUGGAAGAGAGUUGUGAUGACGACGACGAUAAUGAUAGUGACAAUGUUGGGUUGCUGGAGACUCAGCCAGAUUCAAUUGAAAGUGAAGCUUUAACAUGUCCGGCCGAGGAGCUUGAUUUGCUUCAAGAAGGUAGCAAAGAAAGAAUGUUCUUCUUCCAGUUCCCAAAAUCUCUUCCUUUACCCAAAAGGUCGUCCAGUGCCGGCAAGGAGGUGAUGGAAGGAUCCAACCUGCAGCAGCUGCCUCAGGGUUAUUUGGGCAAAAAGGCCGUGAACCUAUCACAAGUCGCGGACAACGCUGGCCCUUUCUUGUGCAUCCAAUAUACUCUAAGCAUUAUGGGAUCCGUAAUGGAUGCGCUUGUUGUGGUGCGCAGGGUGUCGGUGGAGCUUAGGUGCUGCACAAGAUGGUCAGUGAGCAUCAUGUGUGGCUUUCAUCCUUAUGAUGUACACGAAGGUUGGACUCUUUGA
rnacentral:misc_RNA from 1 species